UACAGAGGGUGCAAGCGUUAAUCGGAAUUACUGGGCGUAAAGCGCGCGUAGGCGGACCUGCAAGUCGGGGGUGAAAGCCCGAGGCUCAACCUCGGAACUGCCUUCGAUACUGCGGGUCUCGAGUCCGGAAGAGGAGAGUGGAAUUCCUGGUGUAGCGGUGAAAUGCGUAGAGAUCGGGAGGAACACCAGAGGCGAAGGCGGCGACCUGGACAAGUACUGACACUCAACUACGAAAGCGUGGGGAGCAAACAGG
rnacentral:rRNA from 1 species